rnacentral:rRNA from 2 species
UAGGGAAUCUUCCACAAUGGACGCAAGUCUGAUGGAGCAACGCCGCGUGAGUGAAGAAGGUUUUCGGAUCGUAAAGCUCUGUUGUUGGUGAAGAAGGAUAGAGGCAGUAACUGGUCUUUAUUUGACGGUAAUCAACCAGAAAGUCACGGCUAACUACGUGCCAGCAGCCGCGGUAAUACGUAGGUGGCAAGCGUUGUCCGGAUUUAUUGGGCGUAAAGCGAGCGCAGGCGGAAUGAUAAGUCUGAUGUGAAAGCCCACGGCUCAACCGUGGAACUGCAUCGGAAACUGUCAUUCUUGAGUGCAGAAGAGGAGAGUGGAAUUCCAUGUGUAGCGGUGGAAUGCGUAGAUAUAUGGAAGAACACCAGUGGCGAAGGCGGCUCUCUGGUCUGCAACUGACGCUGAGGCUCGAAAGCAUGGGUAGCGAACAG